rnacentral:pre_miRNA from 1 species
AUCAGAUAAAAUUAGCGUUUGGAUAUGCGAUUUAACGUUGAUUCUAUCUCAUGA